AUGGUGCGCGGGAAGCUGGAGGUGCUGCUCGUCUCCGCCAAGGGCCUCGACGACUCCGAUUUCUUCAAUAGCAUGGACCCGUACGUGAUCCUCACCUGCCGCAGCCACGAGCAGAAGAGCACCGUCGCAUCAGGAGCAGGGAGCGAGCCUGAGUGGAAUGAGACCUUCUUCUUCGCCAUCUCCGGCGACGCUCCGGAGCUCAGGGUCAAGAUCAUGGACAGCGACGCCCUCUCGGCCGACGACCUCGUCGGAGAAGCAUGCAUCCCGCUGGAGGCGGUGCUUCAGGAAGGCAGCCUGCCGCCGGCCGUGCACCGGGUCGUCAAGGACGAGGAGUACCGCGGAGAGAUCAAGAUCGCGCUCACCUUCACCCCGGCAGAGGAAAACGAGGAGGAGGAGAGCUACGGCGGCUGGAAUCAGUCCACCUGA
rnacentral:rRNA from 1 species